rnacentral:rRNA from 1 species
AUUGAACGCUGGCGGCAUGCUUUAAACAUGCAAGUCGAGCGGCAGCGCGGGGCAACCUGGCGGCGAGCGGCGAACGGGUGAGUAAUGCAUCGGAACGUAUCCCGGAGUGGGGGAUAACGCAGCGAAAGUUGCGCUAAUACCGACUAAGCUCUGAGGAGGAAAGCGGGGGACCGAAAGGCUGCGCGCUGAGGGAGCGGCCGGUGUCGGAUUAGCGAGUUGGUGGGGUAAAGGCCCACCAAGUCGACGAGCGGUAGCUGGUCUGAGAGGAUGAUCAGCCACACUGGGACUGAGACACGGCCCAGACUCCUACGGAAGGCAGCAGUGGUGAAUUUUGGACAAUGGGGGCAACCCUGAUCCAGCCAUGCCGCGUGAGUGAAGAAGGCCUUCGGGCUGUAAAGCUCUUUCGGACGGAGCGAAAUCGCUCGCGUGAAUAACGCGGGUGGAUGACGGUACUGUAAGAAGAAGCACCGGCUAACUACGUGCCAGCCGCCGCCGUAACAC